GUAUUAAGCAGUUUGUGUGUGUGCUCGGCAGUCUGUCUGUAUGUGUAUUUAGCCGACUGCUGAAUACACACAGACUGCUGAGUACACAGUCUGCUAAAUACACACACACACACACACAGACAGACUGCCGAGUACACACACACACA